rnacentral:rRNA from 1 species
UACGUAGGGCGCAAGCGUUGUCCGGAAUUAUUGGGCGUAAAGAGCUCGUAGGUGGCUUGUCGCGUCUGCCGUGAAAGCCCGUGGCUUAACUACGGGUCUGCGGUGGAUACGGGCAGGCUAGAGGCUGGUAGGGGCAAGCGGAAUUCCUGGUGUAGCGGUGAAAUGCGUAGAUAUCUGGAGGAACACCGGUGGCGAAGGCGGCAUCCUGGACCGAGAUUGACGCUGAGGCGCGAAAGCCAGGGGAGCAAACGGG